rnacentral:rRNA from 1 species
CCGGAGCUAACGCGUUAAGUAGACCGCCUGGGGAGUACGGCCGCAAGGUUAAAACUCAAAUGAAUUGACGGGGGCCCGCACAAGCGGUGGAGCAUGUGGUUUAAUUCGAUGCAACGCGAAGAACCUUACCUGGUCUUGACAUCCACAGAACUUUCCAGAGAUGGAUUGGUGCCUUCGGGAACUGUGAGACAGGUGCUGCAUGGCUGUCGUCAGCUCGUGUUGUGAAAUGUUGGGUUAAGUCCCGCAACGAGCGCAAC